rnacentral:rRNA from 1 species
UACGUAGGGUGCGAGCGUUGUCCGGAAUUACUGGGCGUAAAGAGCUCGUAGGUGGUUUGUCGCGUUGUUCGUGAAAACUCACAGCUUAACUGUGGGCGUGCGGGCGAUACGGGCAGACUAGAAUUCGGUAGGGGAGACUGGAAUUCCUGGUGUAGCGGUGGAAUGCGCAGAUAUCAGGAGGAACACCGGUGGCGAAGGCGGGUCUCUGGGCCGGUACUGACGCUGAGGCGCGAAAGCGUGGGGAGCAAACGGG